UACGUAGGGGGCAAGCGUUGUCCGGAUUUAUUGGGCGUAAAGAGCGUGUAGGCGGCCGUACAGGUCAGCUGUGAAAACUCGAGGCUCAACCUCGAGACGUCGGUUGAAACCGUACGGCUAGAGUCCGGAAGAGGAGAGUGGAAUUCCCGGUGUAGCGGUGAAAUGCGCAGAUAUCAGGAGGAACACCGGUGGCGAAGGCGGGACUCUGGGCCGAUACUGACGCCGAGGAGCGAAAGCGUGGGGAGCGAACAGG
rnacentral:rRNA from 1 species